GGUUAUAUCACGUUGAAACAUGGGUUCCCGUACGAUCACUGCAGUUAAGCACUGUCGAACCUAGUUAGUAUCUAGAUGGGUGACUGCUUAAGAAUAACAGGUGCUGUAUG